rnacentral:rRNA from 1 species
UACCAGCACCCCGAGUGGUCGGGACGAUUAUUGGGCCUAAAGCAUCCGUAGCCGGUUCUACAAGUCUUCCGUUAAAUCCACCUGCUUAACAGAUGGGCUGCGGAGGAUACUAUAGAGCUAGGAGGCGGGAGAGGCAAGCGGUACUUAGUGGGUAGGGGUAAAAUCCGUUGAUCCGUUGAAGACCACCAGUGGCGAAGGCGGCUUGCCAGAACGCACUCGACGGUGAGGGAUGAAAGCUGGGGGAGCAAACCGG